UAGGGAAUCUUCCACAAUGGGNGCAAGCCUGAUGGAGCAACACCGCGUGAGUGAAGAAGGGUUUCGGCUCGUAAAGCUCUGUUGUUAAAGAAGAACACGUAUGAGAGUAACUGUUCAUACGUUGACGGUAUUUAACCAGAAAGUCACGGCUAACUACGUGCCAA
rnacentral:rRNA from 1 species